GACGAACGCUGGCGGCGUGCCUAACACAUGCAAGUCGAACGAGGUCCAAGGAAGCUUGCUUCCUGAAGACCUAGUGGCGAACGGGUGAGUAACACGUGAGAAACCUGCCUCGGAGUGGGGAAUGACUCGGGGAAACUCGAGCUAAUACCGCAUACCUUCACAUGAUCGCAUGGUCGAGUGAAGAAGAAUUUCGCUCUGAGAGGGUCUCGCGGCCUAUCAGCUUGUUGGUGGGUAACGGCCUACCAAGGCAACGACGGGUAGCUGGUUUGAGAGAACGAUCAGCCACACUGGGACUGAGACACGGCCCAGACUCCUACGGGAGGCAGCAGUGGGGAAUCUUGCGCAAUGGGCGAAAGCCUGACGCAGCAACGCCGCGUGCGGGAUGACGGCCCUUGUGGUGUAAACCGCUUUCAGCAGGG
rnacentral:rRNA from 1 species